rnacentral:rRNA from 1 species
AUUGAACGCUGGCGGCAGGCUUAACACAUGCAAGUCGAGCGGGGAAAGGUAGCUUGCUACCUGACCUAGCGGCGGACGGGUGAGUAAUGCUUAGGAAUCUGCCUAUUAGUGGGGGACAACAUUCCGAAAGGAAUGCUAAUACCACAUACGCCCUACGGGGGAAAGCAGGGGAUCUUCGGACCUUGCGCUAGUAGAUGAGCCUAAGUCAGAUUAGCUAGUUGGUGGGGUAAAGGCCUACCAAGGCGACGAUCUGUAGCGGGUCUGAGAGGAUGAUCCGCCACACUGGGACUGAGACACGGCCCAGACUCCUACGGGGGGCAGCAGUGGGGAAUAUUGGACAAUGGGCGAAAGCCUGAUCCAGCCAUGCCGCGUGUGUGAAGAAGGCCUUUUGGUUGUAAAGCACUUUAAGCGAGGAGGAGGCUACUUGGAUUAAUACUCUAGGAUAGUGGACGUUACUCGCAGAAUAAGCACCGGCUAACUCUGUGCCAGCCGCCGCAGUAA